CAGUGGUCUGACGACUUGACCAAACCAAACCGUGAACCUAUUCCAACUGAAAAAAAUGGAUGCUUCGGCGGGUCGCUCGCUGGGGGAGCCUCGGGCCGCAUUUUGACGGUGGCCCGCCGGAAGCAUGCCGAACCAAAAUCUUUUUACCCUAAAAACUUCUGAGAACAAACUUUCUAAAAGAGUUAUCA
rnacentral:misc_RNA from 1 species